AUCCCUCUAGCUCAGUUGGUAGAGCAUGGUGUUUGCAACACCAGGGUUGUGGGUUCGAUUCCCACGGGGGGCC
rnacentral:tRNA from 1 species